CAAACACAGCACCUUCUACAGUAUUAUUCCAGUCACUCACAACUGCAUGUGCCCACAAAGGAGCAUUUUUAAUAGAACUGUAGAAGCGUCAUGCUGUUCACCUGUUGUUGAGGUAAGAGAUGCAGCCCCUGGAGACCUUGCCUGAAGUGGAAAUGGAACCGCUUGCUGCUGGUAAACAGCAGUCACUGAGGGGAAUGGCGCACCAAGUGCAUGAAAGACACUCACUCUUGAGCCUUGUAGAAGAAAUCUGGAGUGCUAGCUGGAGCCAAAGACACCCUACCUAAGAACUGCUAUGAAGAUGUGUCUUCUCCCCCAAGAUGAGGUACCAGGAAUCAAACUCAGGUUGUCAGGCCAAGUGGCAAGCACCUUUACCUACUGGGCCAUCUCAGAGACUUACUUGCAAAGUUUUUAAUGAAGGACGGAAGAAACCCGGAGUCAGACGGAUGACUACUCCAGCUCCAAGUCCCAGGAUACGCAGUGGAUUAAGUGAGCACUUCACUUGUGACCAAGAGAUGACUGGGGGUUCCGGAGGAGGA
rnacentral:lncRNA from 1 species